CUCCACCUCGUCCUCCACCCUCGAACGAGCGGGUUUAGAAUAACCCGAAACUCCGUCGUUCUACUCACUCGUAUGUUCGAUCUCGACCGGUUCGUAUCAUCGUUUUCUUCCUCCAUCUUAUUCUUCGAGCUUUCGAAAACGCAUCUACGAUCAUGGAGGUUGCCAAAGCAAACGAUACAGCAAGUAGCCUAGUCGAACAAUCGAUGAACGUUGAAUCGGCAUUGAAAUCGGUGAAAACCUUGCAGAGUACGCAGAGCGUACAAACCAAAUCAGUAAUCGAGUCGUCGACUUCCAUUAAAUCGGUGACCACGUCGUCGAGCAGGUCACAUCGAUCGUUGGAGUACGAGGAGUCGGUUGAAUAUACCGAUGAAUAAUCAUCUCACGGCGAAAUCCCAGAGUCCCAGGAAAACCAAGUGGACACAGAACGUGGUCGAGGCUAAGGUGUUACGGCGUGCUAAAUUAUUCGAUGGACUACUUAGUCCGAUCUAUUGUAUAGAACACGAAGAAAAAAAAAAAAAUAUCCUCCGUCAUCUAACCUCACAACGAUAUGACCUACGACAAUGUUUAACUUCCUCAGAAAAGUUUUUUAUCGAACGAAGAAGAAAGUCAUUUCCUUGGAUUAUUUUUUCUUUUAUUCUUUUUUUUUUUUUUUUAAUAUUCGAUAAUAUAAAUAAUUCCGCGAAUUAAGGAAUAUAUCUCAGUUAUAAAAAUCAUAUCGCAAAUGAUACAAACGGGUCGACAAAAAAGAGAUAGAGAAAGAGAGAGAGAGAGAGAGAGAUAAAGAAAUAAAAGAAAAUUACAAAAUAAAAAAUAAACUUAAAAUGUCUAAGAACGUGAACGUGAAUCAAUGUGAAGUACUUUGAGAAAAAUUGAGUCUCUUUAACGUACGACGACGGGUCAAGGCGAGAGCCGAGAAUGCCAGUCGCGAUCGAAGAUGUCUGCGUUAAAGAAAAAGACAAGAAGAAAAAGAAGAAGAAGAAGAAGAAGAGGAAGAAGAAGAAAAAGACAAAUACGCGGAGGAACGUCUGGAAGUCUCGGCUACGAGUUUGGCUCCACUCCAAACGCUGUGGUUCGCCGCCAAAUAGCAAAGAGCCCCUUCCUUUUUCUUUUACGAAUUCUCGUCCGUUUUUCUCCCCCACUAUUGGACAUUCACCUCAUCCUACUCUAGUCUCUAAACCCUUCUCGCUCAAAUGUUCCGUCAUUGUCACGUCUCAAAAAGCCGAUUUUCAUCCCGACGAAUCGUUUAAUCUUUGUACAAUAAAACUUCUAAGACCGA